CCUGUAAUUGGAAUGAGUACACUUUAAAAGCUUUAACGAGUAUCCAUAUGGAGGGCAAGUCUGGUGCCAGCAGCCGCGGUAAUUCCAGCUCCAAAAGUAUAUAUUUAAGUUGUUGCGGUUAAAAAGCUCGUAGUUGGAUUUUGGGCGCAGGCGGCCGGUCCGUCGCAAGGCGUGUACUGGACGUCCUGGCCUUCCCUCCGGUUCUCCGCCGGUGCUCUUGACUGAGUGUCGGCGGCGGCCGGAACGUUUACUUUGAAAAAAUUAGAGUGUUCAAAGCAGGCUCUCGAGCCUGGAUAAUGGUGCAUGGAAUAAUGGAAUAGGACCUCGGUUCUAUUUUGUUGGUUUUCGGAGCGCGAGGUAAUGAUUAAGAGGGACAGACGGGGGCAUUCGUACUGUGCCGUUAGAGGUGAAAUUCUUGGAUCGGCGCAAGACGAACGACUGCGAAAGCAUUUGCCAAGAAUGUUUUCUUUAAUCAAGAGCGAAAGUCAGAGGUUCGAAGACGAUCAGAUACCGUCCUAGUUCUGACUAUAAACGAUGCCAACUAGCGAUCGGGGGGCGUUACAUUGACGACCCCUCCGGCAGCUUACGGGAAACCAAAGUCUUUGGGUUCCGGGGGAAGUAUGGUUGCAAAGCUGAAACUUAAAGGAAUUGACGGAAGGGCACCACCAGGAGUGGAGCCUGCGG
rnacentral:ncRNA from 1 species